rnacentral:rRNA from 1 species
AUUGAACGCUGGCGGAAUGCUUUACACAUGCAAGUCGAACGGCAGCACGGGUGCUUGCACCUGGUGGCGAGUGGCGAACGGGUGAGUAAUACAUCGGAAUGUACCCAGUCGUGGGGGAUAACGUAGCGAAAGUUACGCUAAUACCGCAUACGUCCUGAGGGAGAAAGCGGGGGACCGUAAGGCCUCGCGCGAUUGGAGCGGCCGAUGGCGGAUUAGCUAGUUGGUGGGGUAAAGGCCUACCAAGGCGACGAUCCGUAGCGGGUCUGAGAGGACGGCCCGCCACACUGGAACUGAGACACGGACCAGACUCCUACGGGAGGCAGCAGUGGGGAAUUUUGGACAAUGGGCGAAAGCCGGAUCCAGCCAUUCCGCGUGAGUGAAGAAGGCCUUCGGGUUGUAAAGCUCUUUCGGCAGGGAAGAAACGGCUUGGGAUAAUACCCCGGGCUAAUGACGGUACCUGAAGAAGAAGCACCGGCUAACUACGUGCCAGCAGCCGCGGUAA